rnacentral:misc_RNA from 1 species
UUUCCGUAGGUGAACCUGCGGAAGGAUCAUUCAUAAUAAGUGUUUGAUGGCACUUUUUUAAAUCCAUAUCCACCUUGUGUGCGAUGUCAGGGUUGGUUUGGCUCACGAGAGGAUCAGCCCCAAACAACAACUAUAUCACAACUCAUUGGGUGAAAAAUAUUAUGUAUAAAACAAUUCAAACUACAACUUUCAACAACGGAUCUCUUGGCUCUC